rnacentral:rRNA from 1 species
AGAGUUUGAUCCUGGCUCAGGACGAACGCUGGCGGCGUGCUUAACACAUGCAAGUCGAACGGAAAGGCCCUUCGGGGUACUCGAGUGGCGAACGGGUGAGUAACACGUGGGUGAUCUGCCCUGCACUUUGGGAUAAGCCUGGGAAACUGGGUCUAAUACCGAAUAUGACCAUGCGCCUCCUGGUGUGUGGUGGAAAGCUUUUGCGGUGUGGGAUGGGCCCGCGGCCCAUCAGCUUGUUGGUGGGGUAAUGGCCUACCAAGGCGACGACGGGUAGCCGGCCUGAGAGGGUGACCGGCCACACUGGGACUGAGAUACGGCCCAGACUCCUACGGGAGGCAGCAGUGGGGAAUAUUGCACAAUGGGCGCAAGCCUGAUGCAGCGACGCCGCGUGAGGGAUGACGGCCUUCGGGUUGUAAACCUCUUUCAGCACAGACGAAGCGCAAGUGACGGUAUGUGCAGAAGAAGGACCGGCCAACUACGUGCCAGCAGCCGCGGUAAUACGUAGGGUCCGAGCGUUGUCCGGAAUUACUGGGCGUAAAGAGCUCGUAGGUGGUUUGUCGCGUUGUUCGUGAAAACUCACAGCUUAACUGUGGGCGUGCGGGCGAUACGGGCAGACUUGAGUACUGCAGGGGAGACUGGAAUUCCUGGUGUAGCGGUGGAAUGCGCAGAUAUCAGGAGGAACACCGGUGGCGAAGGCGGGUCUCUGGGCAGUAACUGACGCUGAGGAGCGAAAGCGUGGGGAGCGAACAGGAUUAGAUACCCUGGUAGUCC